rnacentral:tRNA from 2 species
GCGCGGGUGGCGAAAUUGGCAGACGCGCCAGACUUAGGAUCUGGUGGGGCAACCCAUGGGGGUUCAAAUCCCCCCUCGCGCACCA